GUUUUAGUUCAGAUCUAAUGAGACUGGACCCAAUUAUAAACUUGUUUAUGGUAGCUGAUAAGCUACAUAGAAAAGAUGGCUUCAAAGAGGCUGCUCUACAAGUUAUGGGAAGCAGCAUUAGAAUGAGAACGUGAAAUGGGGAGGGACUUAUCUGCCUUGGGUGCUUAGAGUUACAAAUAAAAGAAAAGAAAGGUGGCAGAUUUCCAUUUCAAGGAGCACUGCAAGGAAAAGAGCAAUGGACUUGAAGAAAUAUGGACUGAAGUGGUGCCAACUUUGCUAUUGCAUUCAAGAGUGUUAUGUGAAAGCUGCCUGAAAAUUCCCUAAGAGCCUUGAGUGAAAUGUCCCUGAAUUUCAACCAACUCAAGGCUGAGAGAAGAAGCUGUGCUUUGAAAUCUAAGGAAAAUAUCAUUUGAGAACACAGAGCUACACAAUGAAAAAACUGAUGAAGACAUGGGAAAAGGAUGAGCCUUCUGAAUUUCCUGGAGCCUGGACAAGCCAUCUAAUCUGACCACUACACCACAAUGCUGAGUAAUCUGAAGGCUUGAACUUCCAGAGUCAGAUCAGAGAAGAAGAGGAUAACCUUUCUCUUGAAACAUGAAAAUGCCCUGCCCCAUACCUGUUUGAAGACUGUGGAGCACUCUGCCAACCUUGGCUGUACUGUUGUACACCCACUAUAUAUUCUGGAUUUGGCACUUCUGACUUCCAUCUGGUCAGGAGGAUGAAAGAUGGACUGCAUGACAUCAUCACAGCAAUUGUGAAAGAGUAGGUCACCUCCGUUGGUGACGAUUUUAAUGAGUGCAGCUUUUUCAUUGCUGGCAAAAAUGCAUAGCUGACAGUGGUAACUAUGUUGAAAAAUAGUGUUUUGUAGCUAAAAAUUUCAUGUACCAAAGAGUGUUAUUGUGCUCUUGGUAUGUUGGUAGUUUCCAUGGAAAUAAAUAGGAGGCAUUACAAUUUUCCAGGUGUGGCCUCAACAGGGCAGAGUACAGGAGAAGAAUAUAACCUCCCUUAAUCUACCAGCCAAAAUCUUUUUAAUGCACACUAAGAUAUCAUUGGCCUUCUUGGCCACAAGGGCACACUGGUGACUUACAGGUAUUACACGUACCCAUGUUGAUAUAGAAUCAUAGAAUCAUAGAAUCACUCAGGCUGGAAAAGACCUUUAUGAUCAUCAAGUCCAACCAUGACCUAACCAUACUACCCUAACUCUAACAACCCUCUGCUAAAUCAUGUCCCUGAGCA
ensembl:lncRNA